rnacentral:rRNA from 1 species
ACGAACGCUAGCGGCAUGCCUCAAACAUGCAAGUCGUACGCGAAAGGGGCUUCGGCUCCGAGUAGAGUGGCGCACGGGUGCGUAACACGUAGCUAACGUACCCUCUCGCUGGGGAUAACUCCGGGAAACCGGAGCUAAUACCGAAUGAUCUGGCAGGAACUGCGGUUCUUGUCGGUAAAGCUGUAAGGCGCGAGAGGAUCGGGCUGCGGUCUAUUAGCUAGUUGGUGAGGUAACGGCUCACCAAGGCUACGAUAGAUAGCUGGUCUGAGAGGAUGAUCAGCCACACUGGAACUGGAACACGGUCCAGACUCCCACGGGAGGCAGCAGUUGGGAAUUUUGCACAAUGGGGGAAACCCUGAUGCAGCAAUGCCGCGUGAGUGAUGAAGGCCUUCGGGUCGUAAAGCUCUUUCAGCAGGGAAGAAGGGAAACUUGACGGUACCUGCAGAAGAAGCACCGGCUAACUCCGU